rnacentral:lncRNA from 1 species
CUCUCCAUGCCACACCCUCUCUCUUCUUUUUCCAAUGCCCAAAGGUUGGGCAUCCCACCCUUCUACAUGUCAAGGUUGAGAAGAUCUUCUUCUACAGUGAACAACGAGAAGAAGAAGGUUGUAGUUUAAGAGUUGAUUCCGCAGUCAAGAUCAAAGCGUUGAUCAAUGGUUCUAAAGGGCUAAGAUCCUACUUAGAGAAAAAAAAUCUAUG